rnacentral:rRNA from 1 species
CAAACUUGAGAGUUUGAUCCUGGCUCAGAACGAACGCUGGCGGCAUGCCUAACACAUGCAAGUCGAACGAGACCUUCGGGUCUAGUGGCGCACGGGUGCGUAACGCGUGGGAACCUGCCCUUAGGUUCGGAAUAACAGUUAGAAAUGACUGCUAAUACCGGAUAAUGUCUUCGGACCAAAGAUUUAUCGCCUUUGGAUGGGCCCGCGUUGGAUUAGAUAGUUGGUGGGGUAAUGGCCUACCAAGUCGACGAUCCAUAGCUGGUCUGAGAGGAUGAUCAGCC